rnacentral:lncRNA from 1 species
CCACAGACUUGUCUACACGUCCUCAGGCUGGAGAGAACAUCAAGGAGGGAAUUUUAUGACUGCAAAUCGGUCUUUCCAAAAUAAUAUUCCUAAUGACAGCUACUGUUUACGGAGUGCUUCCUCUGCGUGCCGGGCCUGCACUUGCUGAGCACCGUGCAUCCGGUUGCUGUGGAUGGUCUGAAGAAAACCACUGAUGUAAGAUAAUCAUCAUUCAUUAAAUUCUAACCCCACCCCUAUGAGGCAACUCAAACGUGUUCUUCUCAAGACAGUGGCAGAGUGCAAGAGCGCGAGUGGGAAUAAGCAAGUGCCUUUCAAGCCUGUUUGCAUCAUGUCUGCUCACACCCAGUUGUCCCAAUAAGUCAGAUGUCUGGGCCCCUUCUAGGGCACCACAAGGUUACAGGACAAGGGCAGUUAAUGCAAUCAACCUACUGUAGCUCUCAGAAACUGGGGCAGCAGAGGAUGCCUGGGAAAGCCCUAUCAUUUGUUCUAGUCCACCCAGAAGUCUGCCUUGUCCAAGGAUAGCAUAUCCAUCCGUCCAUCUAUUCAAACAUUUGUGGGGACUGACUUUAGCCUAACAGCUUCAGAGGACAUGGGAACAGAAAGAAUUGGGUCCUACUCUAAGGGAGCUUAAGAUACAAUAGGCAUGAACCCAAAAAAUGUCAGCAUAAUGGGACCUUGAGAAAGGCCAAAGAAUUACCAACAAAUUGUUACAUGGCUGAGAUUGCCAAAUAUUGUGGUCUGCAGAAGGAUCUAGGCCCAUUGUGGAUUUUUCAGAAAUCUAAGGUAAAAUGAGCCCAAAAAAGCCAAUGUAGACAGAUUUGUUUGUAAGGUUAAAUUUGUUCUAUUUCAAAAACCAUUGUUUAUUCUGAAAAUGUCCUUCCUACAUUUGAAAUUAACAUGUUGACUUUUAUAAAAUUAAAAGAAAAUAGUUGUGUUUUUUUUGAGGAAGAUUAGCCCUGAGCUAACAUCUGCCACCAAUCCUCCUCUUUCUUUCUUUCUUUCUUUCUUUUUUUUUCUGAGGAAGAUUGGCCCUGAGAUAACAUUCAUGCCCAUCUUCCUUUAUUUUAUAUGUGGGACGCCUGUCGCAGCAUGGCUUGAUAAGCAAUGCGUAGGUCCACACCCAGGAUCCAAACCGGUGAACCCCAGGCCACUGAAGCGGAGCGUGCAAACUUAACUGCUGCACCACUGGACAAGCCCCCAAAAUAGUUUUAUUUGUGGCUUUUUAAAAUAUCCUUACCUAGUAGAAUAAAAGUUGUCAAUCUAAAAUCUAUCCUUCCCAAAUCCCCACGUUUUUUUUUUUUUUUUUUUUUCUUUUACCCCAAAGGUCUGGGCACCACAGUUGGAGCAGGGAGAGGACAUUUCCAACUGUGUUACUUCAUGGAGAAAGUCAUCUGAGAUGGGCCUUAGAAGAUGGGCUGGGUUUCCGUUUCCAAGAUAUGACAGUGAAGCAGAUGAACCCAAGAGAGGGUGCAAGCUGGAGAGAAAGACCAGGGCAUUCCACCCACAACCUAGGACAUAGGAGGGUAACGAGGGCUUCCCCACAGGAAUGGAAGAUGAGAAGCCAGAUUCCCUGACUCCCGCCCACCGUCUGACCCCAGAGCAGCCCCAUGUUAGAUCUCUGAUUGGUUCCAGGACCACAGUUUCUUUUUCUCCAUGAUUCAUCGACUCUCAAAUGCAACUAUUUCUUCACCCUGUCAUUGUGAGACACUCAAUCCAAAAUCUUUUUGAAAUCAAGAGAUAAUUUUCCUUGCU